GGAGAGAUGGCAGAGUGGUCGAUUGCGGCGGUCUUGAAAACCGUUGUACCGAAAGGUACCGGGGGUUCGAAUCCCUCUUUCUCCG
rnacentral:tRNA from 1 species